AUUGAACGCUGGCGGCAGGCCUAACACAUGCAAGUCGAACGAGUGGCGGACGGGUGAGUAAUGUCUGGGAAACUGCCUGAUGGGGGGGGAUAACUACUGGAAACGGUAGCUAAUACCGCAUACCAUCGGAUGUGCCCAGAUGGGAUUAGCUUGUAGGUGAGGUAACGGCUCACCUAGGCGACGAUCCCUAGCUGGUCUGAGAGGAUGACCGGCCACAUUGGAACUGAGACACGGUCCAGACUCCUACGGAAGGCAGCAGUGGGGAAUAUUGGACAAUGGGCGAAAGCCUGAUGCAGCCAGGCGGCGUGUAUGAAGAAGGCCUUCGGGUGUUAAAGUACUUUCAGCGGGGAGGCGUUACCCGAAGAAGAAGCACCGGCUAACUCCGUGCCAGCCGCCGCGGUAAUAC
rnacentral:rRNA from 1 species